AUUGAACGCUGGCGGCAGGCCUAACACAUGCAAGUCGAACGGUAACACGGUUCAGCUUUCCGAUUCCCUGUCGCGUGUCGGGCGCGUGUGUAGUGUCUGGCAAACUCUCUGAUUGAGGGGGAUAACUCCUGGAAACGGUUGCUACUACCGCAUAACCUCCCAAGACCUAAGAGCGGGACCUUUUGGCCUCUUGCCCUCGUGUAUGCCCAGAUGGGAUUAGCUAGUAGGUGGGGUAACGGCUCACCCAGGCGACGAUCCCUAGCUGGUCUGAGAGGAUGACCAGCCACACUGGAACUGAGACACGGUCCAGACUCCUACGGGAGGCAGCAGUGGGGAAUAUUGGACAAUGGGCGCAAGCCUGAUGCAGCCAUGCCGCGUGUAUGAAGAAGGCCUUCGGGUUGUAAAGUACUUUCAGCGGGGAGGAAGAGCAUAAAGUUAAUACCUUUGCUCAUUGACGUUACCCGCAGAGUAAGCACCGGCUAACUUCGUG
rnacentral:rRNA from 1 species